rnacentral:rRNA from 1 species
GCGAACGGCUCAUUAUAACAGCUAUAAUUUACUUGAUCUUGACAACCUACUUGGAUAACUGUGGUAAUUCUAGAGCUAAUACAUGCACAAAAGCUCCGACCUAAAGGAAAGAGCGCAUUUAUUAGAACAAAACCAAACGGCUUCGGCCGUCCACUGUUGAACCAGAAUAACUAAGCUGACCGCAUGGUCUUGUACCGGCGGCAUGUCUUUCAAGUAUCUGCCUUAUCAACUUUCGAUGGUAGCGUAUCUGCCUACCAUGGUGAUGACGGGUAACGGAGGAUAAGGGUUCGACUCCGGAGAAGGGGCCUGAGAAAUGGCCACUACGUCUAAGGAUGGCAGCAGGCGCGCAAAUUACCCACUCUCAGAAUGAGGAGGUAGUGACGAGAAAUAACGAGACAGUUCUCUUAUGAGGCCUGUCAUCGGAAUGGGUACAAUCUAAACCCUUUAACGAGUAUCUAUGAGAGGGCAAGUCUGGUGCCAGCAGCCGCGGUAAUUCCAGCUCUCAAAAUGCAUAGAAUUAUUGCUGCGGUUAAAAAGCUCGUAGUUGGAUCUGUGCCGGCGUCCCGGUCCGCCCUCACGGGCGUGUACUGGAUUCGCUGGUUUUCCGCUCAACUCCUGCCAGCGUCCUUCACUGGACGUCUGGAAAGGGUGAGCAAGUUUACCUUGAACAAAUCAGAGUGCUCAAAACAGGCGUUUCGCUUGAAUGUUCGUGCAUGGAAUAAUAGAAGAGGAUUUCGGUUCAAUUUUAUUGGUUUUAUUGACUGAGAUAAUGGUUAACAGAGACAAACGGGGGCAUUCGUAUUGCUACGUGAGAGGUGAAAUUCUUGGACCGUAGCAAGACGGACUACAGCGAAAGCAUUUGCCAAGAAUGUCUUCAUUAAUCAAGAACGAAAGUCAGAGGUUCGAAGGCGAUCAGAUACCGCCCUAGUUCUGACCGUAAACGAUGCCAACUAGCGAUCCGCCGGCGGAAUUUUUGCCCUGGUGGGGGAGCUUCCCGGAAACGAAAGUCUUCCGGUUCCGGGGGAAGUAUGGUUGCAAAGCUGAAACUUAAAGGAAUUGACGGAAGGGCACCACC